rnacentral:rRNA from 1 species
GACGAACGCUGGCGGCGUGCUUAACACAUGCAAGUCGAACGGAAAGGCCCUGCUUUUGUGGGGUGCUCGAGUGGCGAACGGGUGAGUAACACGUGAGUAACCUGCCCUUGACUUUGGGAUAACUUAAGGAAACUGGGGAUAAUACCGGAUAGGAGCUCCUGCUGCAUGGUGGGGGUUGGAAAGUUUCGGCGGUUGGGGCUGGACUCGCGGCUUAUCAGCUUGUUGGUGGGGUAGUGGCGUACCAAGGCUUUGACGGGUAGCCGGCCUGGGAGGGUGACCGGCCACAUUGGGCCUGAGGUAGGGCCCAGACUGCAACGGGAGGCAGCGGUGGAAAAUAUUGCACAAUGGGCGGAAGGCUGAUGCAGCGACGCCGCGUGCGGAAUGACGGCCUUUGGGUUGUAAACCGCUUUCGCCUGAGACGAAGCGUGAGUGACGGUAAUGGAUAAAGAAGCACCGGCUAACUACGUG